AAAUCAGGCAUUCUCUGAUCACCCCGGCUUUGGUGUACAUGGAUUUCUGAGGUACCAGUUAAACAUUCACCAGGAAAGUCCUGAAUUUCCCCCCAGCCUGCUAUCAGAAGCCACCACCGGAUCCCAAGUUUCCACUCCUCAAAUCCUAUUUCUGGGACCCCAGUGCUCAGAAUCUUCAGCCAUCUUUCAUAUCAGCAAAACUCUGUUUCUGGAACUGAAUGAA